GCUCCAGUAGCAGUUCAUUUCUUAGAGGAGACUUGGGACCUGGAGGAGGUCGCUAACCUACAGGAUGCAGGGAGUAUAUCAGUCGCGGUCCUCCUUUCCUCCUCCCAAUCUGAGUUCCCACUCCCAUGAAGAGUGAGCUAUGGGAAAUGAUACAUGCUUUCUCCCUCUAGAAUGGUGCUGUUUCCUGUCCUGUGAUUGUCUGCAAGCCUUAGUCCUUGAAGUCUCUAAACAGUGUUCUACCCUUCCUGGCCUUCGACAGUAUAGAAGACCAGCACUCAAAUACCUGAGGCAAUGGAAGAAAGCUGAAAAUGUAAAAAGUCUCCAAGGAAGGGUAAGAAAAUUACUUGGACAAAGGAAUGUGAGGAACCCAUUUCCAACUUUAAUAACUAAUUAUUAAGUCACUUGAUUUUUGAAAUGUGUCUGGUAUUUCAGUGUACUGGAUGCACUGAAAUGUGUCCAGUUCUUAGUAACACCUUAUCUGCUCA